CUUACCAGGUCUUGACAUCCCUCUGACCGGCUUAGAGAUAAGCCUUUCCUUCGGGACAGAGGUGACAGGUGGUGCAUGGUUGUCGUCAGCUCGUGUCGUGAGAUGUUGGGUUAAGUCCCGCAACGAGCGCAACCCUUGAACUUAGUUGCCAGCAGGUUGAGCUGGGCACUCUAAGUUGACUGCCGGUGACAAACCGGAGGAAGGCGGGGAUGACGUCAAAUCAUCAUGCCCCUUAUGACCUGGGCUACACACGUACUACAAUGGCCGGUACAACGGGAAGCGAAGGAGCGAUCCGGAGCCAAUCCUAGAAAAGCCGGUCUCAGUUCGGAUUGCAGGCUGCAACUCGCCUGCAUGAAGUCGGAAUUGCUAGUAAUCGCGGAUCAGCAUGCCGCGGUGAAUACG
rnacentral:rRNA from 2 species